rnacentral:rRNA from 1 species
ACCGGGGGAUAACAGCUGGAAACGGCUGCUAAUACCGCAUAAGCGCACAGAGCUGCAUGGCUCAGUGUGAAAAACUCCGGUGGUAUGGGAUGGGCCCGCGUCUGAUUAGGCAGUUGGCGGGGUAACGGCCCACCAAACCGACGAUCAGUAGCCGGCCUGAGAGGGCGACCGGCCACAUUGGGACUGAGACACGGCCCAAACUCCUACGGGAGGCAGCAGUGGGGAAUAUUGCACAAUGGGGGAAACCCUGAUGCAGCGACGCCGCGUGAGCGAAGAAGUAUUUCGGUAUGUAAAGCUCUAUCAGCAGGGAAGAUAAUGACAGUACCUGACUAAGAAGCCCCGGCUAACUACGUGCCAGCAGCCGCGGUAAUACGUAGGGGGCAAGCGUUAUCCGGAUUUACUGGGUGUAAAGGGAGCGUAGACGGCAAGGCAAGUCUGAUGUGAAAACCCAGGGCUUAACCCUGGGACUGCAUUGGAAACUGUCUGGCUCGAGUGCCGGAGAGGUAAGCGGAAUUCCUAGUGUAGCGGUGAAAUGCGUAGAUAUUAGGAAGAACACCAGUGGCGAAGGCGGCUUACUGGACGGUAACUGACGUUGAGGCUCGAAAGCGUGGGGAGCAAACAGGAUUAGAUACCCUGGUAGUCCACGCCGUAAACGA